AGAGUUUGAUCCUGGCUCAGAACGAACGCUGGCGGCGUGGAUAAGACAUGCAAGUCGAACGAGAGAAUUGCUAGCUUGCUAAUAAUUCUCUAGUGGCGCACGGGUGAGUAACACGUGAGUAACCUGCCCCCGAGAGCGGGAUAGCCCUGGGAAACUGGGAUUAAUACCGCAUAGUAUCGAAAGAUUAAAGCAGCAAUGCGCUUGGGGAUGGGCUCGCGGCCUAUUAGUUAGUUGGUGAGGUAACGGCUCACCAAGGCGAUGACGGGUAGCCGGUCUGAGGGGAUGUCCGGCCACACUGGAACUGAGACACGGUCCAGACACCUACGGGUGGCAGCAGUCGAGAAUCAUUCACAAUGGGGGAAACCCUGAUGGUGCGACGCCGCGUGGGGGAAUGAAGGUCUUCGGAUUGUAAACCCCUGUCACGUGGGAGCAAAUUAAAAAGAUAGUACCACAAGAGGAAGAGACGGCUAACUCUGUGCCAGCAGCCGCGGUAAUACAGAGGUCUCAAGCGUUGAUCGGAAUCACUGGGCGUAAAGCGUGCGUAGGCUGUUUCGUAAGUCGUGUGUGAAAGGCGCGGGCUCAACCCGCGGACGGCACAUGAUACUGCGAGACUAGAGUAAUGGAGGGGGAACCAGAAUUCUCGGUGUAGCAGUGAAAUGCGUAGAUAUCGAGAGGAACACUCGUGGCGAAGGCGGGUUCCUGGACAUUAACUGACGCUGAGGCACGAAGGCCAGGGGAGCGAAAGGGAUUAGAUACCCCUGUAGUCCUGGCAGUAAACGGUGCACGCUUGGUGUGCGGGGAAUCGACCCCCUGCGUGCCGGAGCUAACGCGUUAAGCGUGCCGCCUGGGGAGUACGGUCGCAAGAUUAAAACUCAAGGAAAUUGACGGGGACCCGCACAAGCGGUGGAGUAUGUGGCUUAAUUCGAUGCAACGCGAAGAACCUUACCUGGGCUUGACAUGUAAUGAACAACAUGUGAAAGCAUGCGACUCUUCGGAGGCGUUACACAGGUGCUGCAUGGCCGUCGUCAGCUCGUGUCGUGAGAUGUUUGGUUAAGUCCAGCAACGAGCGCAACCCCUGUUGCCAGUUACCAGCACGUGAAGGUGGGGACUCUGGCGAGACUGCCCAGAUCAACUGGGAGGAAGGUGGGGACAACGUCAAGUCAGUAUGGCCCUUAUGCCCAGGGCUGCACACGUACUACGAUGCCCAGUACAGAGGGGGCCGAAGCCGCGAGGCGGAGGAAAUCCUAAAAACUGGGCCCAG
rnacentral:rRNA from 1 species